rfam:Pteropus alecto contig28937, whole genome shotgun sequence.
GGCUAUGGCCAUGCUACCCUGAACAAGCCCAAUCUCGUCUGAUCUCAGAAGCUAAGCAGGGUCAGGCCUAGUUAAUACUUGGAAGGGAGACCACCUAGGAAGACCAGGUGCUGGAGGCC